UCUCCGUUGGUGAACCAGCGGAGGGAUCAUUACAGGGUUGCAAAACUCCCAAACCAUUGUGAACGUUACCUAUCCCGUUGCUUCGGCGGGCGGCCCGGGCCCCGCGCCCGGCGCCCCCCGGCCCCCCGUGGGCGCCCGCCGGAGGUAAACCAAACCCUUGAAUUGCAUGGCCUCUCUGAGCCUUCUGUACUGAAUAAGUCAAAACUUUCAACAACGGAUCUCUUGGUUCUG
rnacentral:misc_RNA from 1 species